UCAGAAUCAACGCUGGCGGCGUGCCUAACACAUGCAAGUCGAACGAGAAAGCGGGGGCAACUCCGUGAGUAAAGUGGCAGACGGGUGAGUAACACGUGAACAACCUACCCUCGAGUGGGGAAUAACACCGCGAAAGCGGUGCUAAUACCGCAUAACAUCCUCAGAUCGCAUGGUUUGAGGAUCAAGGGCGAAAGUCGCUUGAGGAGGGGUUCGCGGCUGAUUAGCUAGUUGGUGAGGUAACGGCCCACCAAGGCAACGAUCAGUAGCCGGCCUGAGAGGGCGAACGGCCACACUGGAACUGAGACACGGUCCAGACUCCUACGGGAGGCAGCAGUGGGGAAUUUUGCGCAAUGGGCGAAAGCCUGACGCAGCCAACGCCGCGUGGAGGAUGAAGGUCUUCGGAUCGUAAACUCCUGUCAGGGGGGACGAAAACCCCGCAAGGGGUCUGACUGUACCCUCUGAGGAAGCCACGGCCAACUCCGUGCCAGCCGCCGC
rnacentral:rRNA from 1 species